rnacentral:rRNA from 1 species
GGCGAAUGGGUGAGUAACACGUAUGCAACUUACCUCUUAGUGGUGAAUAACCCGAUGAAAGUCGGACUAAUACACCAUAUACUCCUUAGAUCCCAUGAGAAGAGGAGGAAAGAUUAAUCGCUAAGAGAUGGGCCUGCGUUCCAUUAGCUAGUUGGUAAGGUAACGGCUUACCAAGGCAACGAUGGAUAGGGGGACUGAGAGGUUGACUCCCCACAUUGACACUGAGAUACGGGUCAAACUCCUACGGGAGGCAGCAGGC